CUACAUCUAUAUUAACUACAUGUUUUAAUACAGAUGUGUCUGUGAAUGGAACGAUGUUUCAUUGCGACAUAUUUAAAAGCCAACCGAAGCGAGAUUGUGCUGUUUACUGUGCAGCCGAUUGCUUUGGAGCAAAAAGCAUUUUACAGGUUUUUUUUGUCCUACUUCAAGUAGCAUAGUACUUACGUAACACUAUGUUUAUUUGUUAUUUGAGGUUACAUUCCUCAUCUUUCGUUCUGUAGCUUUCGGAAGACUUCUAAUCCGUUUGCUGUGUACAUGUACAGGUGCAUGAAGGUCCGCAGCGGCAUCAUCGUUUCGAUACGUUUCAAGCUUACGUCGACGACGUUGUCGAGCGACUCACUUUUAGGUAUCUGGCAGGUAUUUGUGCCCAUGAUCACAACGUAGAGGUUAUGUAAGCAACACGAAAACCGAGUAGCAGUCAACUCACAGCUUUCCCGAUGCCAGACCCGGAAUACUUCACAUAACUUUAUCACACUAUGAAUAUGUGUAUAUGACGAUGGACCUUUUUGCGUAACUCAUAAUAACUUAUUGUCAUGACAAAUGUUUGCUGCACGUCCAAAUCUCAAAGCCGUAUAUUAACGAUUGCUUUCCUAGUAAUUCACAACUAGCCAGCAGUGGAAAUAGCUAGCUAAGUAAAAUCUCAGUCGUGUUAUAUUCUUUUUUGUAAACUUAACAAGUUAGAUCGGUCAUGCGGGGCGAAACAGUAAACCGCUAUGAGUACAUGCAGGUUGAAUAGACCCGCCACCGGUAAAUGCCCGCUAUCUACAAUUGAAUCCGCAUUGACAGCGCGAGAGUCCCGAGUGAAUUUCUGGCCACGAUCUGGAACGAUGAUGUAUUAAACAUCUCGAUAACAUUCGUUACGUGACUAUUACAGUCGGUGCUUCUGCGAAAAGCUUUCGUUUGCCUGCUCCACAAAACUAAGUCGAUCUAUUGUCUAAACAUAGAUAUACUUAAAGUCGUGCAGGACGGCCAUUAUUCUGUCAUAUAUAGACAGUUGAUGUAAGGACAGCAUCUUGUUGUGCCAAUGUGAUUUAAAGUUGACGAGGUCUACGGAAGACGACCUGUGUUUGCUCGCCUGCUCUAUUCUCGCUAUUGUCUUAAACGUAAGAAGAUAGCUUAAUUAGCCCCUGAUGGUAUCUCGGUGCUUGUGAUUUAUCUUCCUUCCCUACUGUUAGACAUUCGCGGAGCAUGUGCACGUCAGAACAAUUGGAAAAGCGAUUUCCAAGUUUUCAAUAAAGAGUCGAGCAUACGGAUUCGACAUUAUACAGCUAUACACUUUAACUUUAACCUUUGUCAGUGAUAACUUGUGAAGAAUCAUGCUACCUGUCUAUCACUAUCAUACUUUUACAAGCAUAGUUAGGGGAGCGUUACUAAGAGAAGUGCACAUAUAAACGGUAUAGAACUGGGUAGAGUAUGUGGGUUCAAGGCAUGCCACUAAUUUUUUUCACGAAUUUUUCUCGGUCAAUACAACGAGUACGUUACAAAUUGCUCGUUAGAACGCUAAGCUCCCAUUUCUUUUUUUUAAAGUUACCUUCGCAGCAACUAUCUACGGUUAAUAUUUUGCCAAGUUGAAUCAAGCCAAUACCCUGCGCGUCUAGUUGGCUCUCGAGCACCGAGAUACAUAUCUAUUGUAUGAUAUGAAGACUAUCUAGAGAUACAAACCGCGUCUGUUUUCGCGAGGUUUAUAGUGAUGUUCGUGUCUUAUCAGAAAAAAACCAACCAGAGCGGCAUAGUACGGAAAAAUGCCAUUGUACAGAAUCAAGAGAUGGCAUCGGCGAUUCUGCUUCUUCGUUCAUCGGGAUAAUGAAUGGAUGAUACCCUGACAGUUCAUGAACAUGAGAAGACUAAUCAUGGAUCUUGUUAUCGAAUAAGAGUCGAGUCAUGAUGAAUGUCCUGGUUAGAAGGACAAGUAGCCACAUGUCCGGUAAGCUUCAGGAGAUGAAAUAUGCGAAGAGCGAUGUCCUACGUUCUGCGGAAAAUAUCGAAUGAGCAAAAAGCUCAACCCCAUUGGCUGACCGUUAAUAACCAUUGGGGAAGAGCGUUAUUAAAUGAAAUUAUCUCGUAGUCUUGUUAUUGUUUUCAGUAUUAUCAUUAUUCAGUAUUCUCAGUAUUCAUUUAUGUAUCCGACGUGAGAUCGGUUUCAAUAGAAGCCUAAAAAUCUAUUAGAUAGACUAUUGUUCAUGCUUAAGCAAAAGCUCCGGAUGCAUUAAACGGCUCAAACUAACGAAGCCAAUCUAAUUAUCAUUUGACGAAUAUAAGCAUCGCUCUCUUGUGUAUAAAAUAAUUCGUGACUGACUUUGGCCUAAUUAAAUGAUGUUUUAAUUCAAUUUUAGAAAGCAGAAAAUCAA